rnacentral:rRNA from 1 species
CGCCCCGCAAGGGGAGUGGCAGACGGGUGAGUAACGCGUGUGGAAUCUACCCUUUUCUACGGAACAACUGAGGGAAACUUCAGCUAAUACCGUAUACGGCCGAGAGGCGAAAGAUUUAUCGGAGAAGGAUGAGCCCGCGUUGGAUUAGCUAGUUGGUGGGGUAAAGGCCUACCAAGGCGACGAUCCAUAGCUGGUCUGAGAGGAUGAUCGGCCACACUGGGACUGAGACACGGCCCAGACUCCUACGGGAGGCAGCAGUGGGGAAUAUUGGACAAUGGGCGCAAGCCUGAUCCAGCCAUGCCGCGUGAGUGAUGAAGGCCCUAGGGUUGUAAAGCUCUUUCACCGGUGAAGAUAAUGACGGUAACCGGAGAAGAAGCCCCGGCUAACUUCGUGCCAGCAGCCGCGGUAAUACGAAGGGGGCUAGCGUUGUUCGGAUUUACUGGGCGUAAGGCGCACGUAGGCGGACUAUUAAGUCAGGGGUGAAAUCCCGGGGCUCACCCCGGAACUGCCUUUGAACUGGUGUCUUGAGUUCGAGAGAGGUGAGUGGAAUUCCGAGUGUGAGGUGAAAUUCGUAUAUUUCGGAGGAAACCAGUGGCGAAGGCGGCUCACUGGCUCGAUACUGACGCUGAGGUGCGAAGCGUGGGGAGCCACAGGAUUAGAUCCCUGGUAUCCACGCCGUAACUAUGAGAGCUACCCUCUGCAGUUACUGUUCGGGGGCAGCUAAGCAUUAGCUCUCGCCUGGCGAUACGGUCGCAGAUUAAACUCAAUGAUUGACGGGA